rnacentral:rRNA from 1 species
CAGUAGGAUAGGCGAAGCGUGCGAUUGGAUUGCACGUCUAAGCAGUAAGGCUGAGUAUUAGGCAAAUCCGGUACUCGUUAAGGCUGAGCUGUGAUGGGGAGAAGACAUUGUGUCUUCGAGUCGUUGAUUUCACACUGCCGAGAAAAGCCUCUAGAUAGAAAAUAGGUGCCCGUACCGCAAACCGACACAGGUAGUCAAGAUGAGAAUUCUAAGGUGAGCGAGCGAACUCUCGUUAAGGAACUCGGCAAAAUGACCCCGUAACUUCGGGAGAAGGGGUGCUCUUUAGGGUUAACGCCCAGAAGAGCCGCAGUGAAUAGGCCCAAGCGACUGUUUAUCAAAAACACAGGUCUCUGCUAAACCGUAAGGUGAUGUAUAGGGGCUGACGCCUGCCCGGUGCUGGAAGGUUAAGAGGAGUGGUUAGCUUCUGCGAAGCUACGAAUCGAAGCCCCAGUAAACGGCGGCCGUAACUAUAACGGUCCUAAGGUAGCGAAAUUCCUUGUCGGGUAAGUUCCGACCCGCACGAAAGGCGUAACGAUUUGGGCACUGUCUCAACGAGAGACUCGGUGAAAUCAUAGUACCUGUGAAGAUGCAGGUUACCCGCGACAGGACGGAAAGACCCCGUGGAGCUUUACUGUAGCCUGAUAUUGAAAUUCGGCACAGCUUGUACAGGAUAGGUAGGAGCCUUUGAAACGUGAGCGCUAGCUUACGUGGAGGCGCUGGUGGGAUACUACCCUAGCUGUGUUGGCUUUCUAACCCGCACCACUUAUCGUGGUGGGAGACAGUGUCAGGCGGGCAGUUUGACUGGGGCGGUCGCCUCCUAAAAGGUAACGGAGGCGCUCAAAGGUUCCCUCAGAAUGGUUGGAAAUCAUUCAUAGAGUGUAAAGGCAUANNCNUNUCCNNGNCCA